UACGUAGGGGGCAAGCGUUGUCCGGAUUUAUUGGGCGUAAAGAGCGUGUAGGCGGUUAGGUAGGUCCGUUGUGAAAACUCGAGGCUCAACCUCGAGACGCCGAUGGAAACCGUCUAACUAGAGUCCGGAAGAGGAGAGUGGAAUUCCUGGUGUAGCGGUGAAAUGCGCAGAUAUCAGGAAGAACACCCGUGGCUAAGGCGGCUCUCUAGUACGGUACUGACGCUGAGACGCGAAAGCGUGGGGAGCGAACAGG
rnacentral:rRNA from 1 species